rnacentral:rRNA from 1 species
GAUAUGGGAUGGCAAAAGUAUAGAAGAACGGUAUGGAAAGGCCGGCCAGAGACGGUGAUAGCCCGGUAUUCGAAAUACCUUUGCCCCCUAGGGAGUCCCCGAGUACCACGAGGCACGUGAAACCUUGUGGGAAUCCGGGAGGACCAUCUUCCAAGGCUAAAUACUACCUGGUGACCGAUAGUGAACAAGUACCGUGAGGGAAAGGUGAAAAGAACCCCGGGAGGGGAGUGAAAGAGAAACUGAAACCGUCAGCUUACAAGCAGUUGAAGCACCGCAAGGUGUGACAGCGUGCCUUUUGCAUAAUGAGUCAACGAGUUGCCGUAUGUAGCGAGGUUAAGCCGUCAGGUGGAGCCGUAGCGAAAGCGAGUCUUAAGAGGGCGAUGAGUUAUAUGCGGCAGACCCGAAGCCGGGUGAUCUAUCCAUGUCCAGGGUGAAGUCUCGGUAACACGGGAUGGAGGCCCGAACCGGUAUAGGUUGAAAACUGUUCGGAUGAGGUGUGGAUAGGAGUGAAAGGCUAAUCAAACUCGGUGAUAGCUGGUUUUCUCCGAAAUAUAUUUAGGUAUAGCCUUGCGAGUUGACUGACGGAGGUAGAGCACUGUUUGAGCUAGGGAUCCCACCGGAUUACCGACCUCAUGCAAACUUCGAAUGCCGUCAGGUUCUAUCGCAGGAGUCAGACUGCGGGAGAUAAGUUCCGUGGUCGAGAGGGUAAGAGCCCAGACCGUCAACUAAGGUCCCCAAACCAUGCUAAGUGGAAAAGGAGGUGAAAUUGCUGAGACAACCAGGAGGUUGGCUUAGAAGCAGCAAUCCUUUAAAGAUAGCGUAAUAGCUCACUGGUCUAGUGAAUUUGCGCCGAAAAUGUAACGGGGCUUAAGCAUGGUACCGAAGUUACGGAUCGAGCAAUCGAUGGUAGGAGAACAUUGUGUAGGCCUGAGAAGGUGCGUCGCGAGGCGUGCUGGAGGUAUCACAAGAGCGUAUGUUGACACGAGUAGCGAAAAUGGAGGUGAAAAACCUCCACGCCGUAAGUCUCAGGUUUCCUGAAGUCAAGUUAAUCUGCUCAGGGUUAGUCGGCCCCUAAGGCGAGGCUGAAAAGCGUAGUCGAUGGGAAACGGGUUAAUAUUCCCGUACCGCUGAUGUGGAACUUGUAUAAGGGGGGACGAAGAAGGAUAGGUCAUCCGGGCGUUGGUUGUCCCGGUUCAAGCGUGUAGGCGGAGGACUCAGGCAAAUCCGGGUUCUCAUAACGCCGAGGCGUGACGACGAGACCCUAUGGGUCAUAAAGUGAUUGAUUCCAUGCUUCCAGGAAAAGCCUCGUAUACAUUUACAUCGGUGACCGUACCGCAAACCGACACAGGUAGACAGGUAGAAUAUACCAAGGCGCUUGAGAGAACUCUGGUUAAGGAACUCGGCAAAAUAGCACCGUAACCUCGGAAAAAGGUGUGCCCCCUUGGUGAUCUUUUUUACAAGUGAGAGCCUCUGGGGGUUGCAGUGAAAGGGGGGGAGCGACUGUUUACUAAAAACACAGGACUCUGCGAAGUCGCAAGACGAAGUAUAGGGUCUGACGCCUGCCCGGUGCCGGAAGGUUAAGGGGACAUGUCAGCGCAAGCAAAGCAUCGAACCGAAGCCCCGGUAAACGGCGGCCGUAACUAUAACGGUCCUAAGGUAGCGAAAUUCCUUGUCGGGCAAGUUCCGACCUGCACGAAUGGCGUAACGAUUUCCCCACUGUCUCAACCAGAGACUCAGCGAAACUGUAGUACCGGUGAAGAUGCCGGUUACCCGCAACUAGACAGAAAGACCCCGUGAACCUUUACUAUAGCUUGGCAUUGUGUUUAGGGAUGGCAUGUGUAGGAUAGGUGGGAGGCUUUGAAGCGGGCACGCCAGUGUCCGUGGAGCCAACCUUGAAAUACCACCCUUGUCAUCUUUGAACUCUAACUGCGUUCCGUAAACC